rnacentral:rRNA from 1 species
UGGGGAAUAUUGCACAAUGGGCGGAAGCCUGAUGCAGCGACGCCGCGUGGGGGAUGAAGGCCUUCGGGUUGUAAACUCCUUUCGACAGGGACGAAGCUUUCGUGACGGUACCUGUAUAAGAAGCACCGGCUAACUACGUGCCAGCAGCCGCGGUAAUACGUAGGGUGCGAGCGUUGUCCGGAAUUACUGGGCGUAAAGAGCUCGUAGGUGGUUUGUCGCGUCGUCUGUGAAAUUCCGGGGCUUAACUCCGGGCGUGCAGGCGAUACGGGCUGACUUGAGUGCUGUAGGGGAGACUGGAAUUCCUGGUGUAGCGGUGAAAUGCGCAGAUAUCAGGAGGAACACCGAUGGCGAAGGCAGGUCUCUGGGCAGUAACUGACGCUGAGGAGCGAAAGCAUGGGUAGCGAACAGGAUUAGAUACCCUGGUAGUCCAUGCCGUAAACGGUGGGCGCUAGGUGUAGGGGGCUUCCACGUCUUCUGUGCCGUAGCUAACGCAUUAAGCGCCCCGCCUGGGGAGUACGGCCGCAAGGCUA